UGGGAGGGGGGCUUGCCCCCGAUAGCAGUGGAUCAGCCAGCCUAUCUAUAGCUGACCCGCUGCAAUCGGGGGCAAGCCCCCUCCCAC
rnacentral:misc_RNA from 1 species